rnacentral:rRNA from 1 species
UACGGGGGGGGGCAAGCGUUGUUCGGAAUUACUGGGCGUAAAGGGCUCGUAGGCGGCCAACUAAGUCGGAUGUGAAAUCCCCAAGCUUAACUUGGGAACUGCAUCCGAUACUGGAUGGCUUGAAUCCGGGAGAGGGAUGCAGAAUUCCAGGUGUAGCGGUGAAAUGCGUAGAUAUCUGGGGAAGUACCGGUGGCGAAGGCGGCAUCCUGGACCGGCAUUGACGCUGAGGAGCGAAAGCUAGGGGAGCAAACGGGG